rnacentral:rRNA from 1 species
UACGUAGGGUGCGAGCGUUGUCCGGAAUUACUGGGCGUAAAGAGCUCGUAGGUGGUUUGUCGCGUUGUUCGUGAAAACUCACAACUCAAUUGUGGGCGUGCGGGCGAUACGGGCAGACUGGAGUACUGCAGGGGAGACUGGAAUUCCUGGUGUAGCGGUGGAAUGCGCAGAUAUCAGGAGGAACGCCGGUGGCGAAGGCGGCUCUCUGGGUCGUACCUGACGCUGAGGCGCGAAAGCGUGGGGAGCGAACGGG